GUUGACCUCGGAUCAGGUAGGGAUACCCGCUGAACUUAAGCAUAUCAAUAAGCGGAGGAAAAGAAACCAACAGGGAUUGCCUUAGUAACGGCGAGUGAAGCGGCAAUAGCUCAAAUUUGAAAGCUGGCGUCUUCGACGUCCGCGUUGUAAUUUGUAGAGGAUGCUUCGGCGAAGACUCCUGCCUAAGUCCCCUGGAACGGGGCGUCAUAGAGGGUGAGAAUCCCGUAUGUGGCGGGCGGUCCGAGCCAUGUGAAGCUCCUUCGACGAGUCGAGUUGUUUGGGAAUGCAGCUCUAAAUGGGAGGUAAAUUUCUUCUAAAGCUAAAUAUUGGCCAGAGACCGAUAGCGCACAAGUAGAGUGAUCGAAAGAUGAAAAGCACUUUGGAAAGAGAGUUAAAAAGUACGUGAAAUUGUUGAAAGGGAAGCGCUUGCAACCAGACUCGCUCGUAGUUGCUCAGCCGGCCUCUUGGCCGGUGUACUCUUCUGCGAUCGGGCCAGCAUCAGUUCGGGCGGCCGGAUAAAGGUGUCGGGAAUGUAGCACCCUUCGGGGUGUGUUAUAGCCCGGCGCGGAAUGCGGCCAGCCUGGACUGAGGAUCUCGCUUCGGCAAGGAUGCUGGCGUAAUGGUUGUAAGCGGCCCGUCU
rnacentral:rRNA from 1 species